AGAGUUUGAUCCUGGCUCAGAACGAACGCUGGCGGCAGGCUUAACACAUGCAAGUCGAACGCUCGUAGCAAUACGGGAGUGGCAGACGGGUGAGUAACGCGUGGGAACAUACCCUCCGGUUCGGAAUAACUCAGGGAAACUUGAGCUAAUACCGGAUACGGCUUAGCGGCGAAAGAUUCAUCGCCGGAGGAUUGGCCCGCGUUCGAUUAGCUUGUUGGUGAGGUAACGGCUCACCAAGGCGACGAUCGAUAGCUGGUCUGAGAGGAUGAUCAGCCACAUUGGGACUGAGACACGGCCCAAACUCCUACGGGAGGCAGCAGUGGGGAAUAUUGGACAAUGGGCGCAAGCCUGAUCCAGCCAUGCCGCGUGAGUGAUGACGGCCUUAGGGUUGUAAAGCUCUUUCGCUCGGGACGAUAAUGACGGACCGAGAUAAG
rnacentral:rRNA from 1 species